GACGAACGCUGGCGGCGUGCUUAACACAUGCAAGUCGAACGGAAAGGCCCUGGUUUGGUGGGGUGCUCGAGUGGCGAACGGGUGAGUAACACGUGAGUAACCUGCCCUUGACUUUGGGAUAACUUCUGGAAACUGGGGCUAAUACCGGAUAGGAGCUCCUGCUGCAUGGUGGGGGUUGGAAAGUUUCUGCGGUUGGGGAUGGACUCGCGGCUUAUCAGCUUGUUGGUGGGGUAGUGGCUUACCAAGGCUUUGACGGGUAGCCGGCCUGAGAGGGUGACCGGCCACACUGGGACUGAGAUACGGCCCAGACUCCUACGGGAGGCAGCAGUGGGGAAUAUUGCACAAUGGGCGGAAGCCUGAUGCAGCAACGCCGCGUGCGGGAUGACGGCCUUCGGGUUGUAAACCGCUUUCGCCAGUGACGAAGCGUGAGUGACGGUAACGGGUAAAGAAGCACCGGCUAACUACGUG
rnacentral:rRNA from 1 species